CUGUUGAUUUGAUCCAAUGGACUGACAUGCAGGGGAGACUCAGAUGAAAGUUGCAUCUGAGGAGUGUUUGUGCUCAUAGCUGAGGAACCUUCCCAAAGCUGCCUUCCUCAUUAUCCACCAAAGUCCUCCUGCUGUUCCACAUACUAAUUCCACAGGGUGGAAUUAAUGCUUUCACAUGGCAAAGGCCAACUGUAACUGUUGCUUCACACUGAAAACACAGAGGGAGAAGGUGUUUCACUAAACCAUCACCAGUGGACAUCACAACAGGAAGAAAAUGACAACCACGGGGUGCGAUUCCUUCCCCGGCUGAUGCCGCUCUGAGCAUCCAGAGCCAGCCGAAGGCAGCAGCGGUACAGUCGCUGUGACAGUGCGAGGGCAGAAGCUCUGGACGGUAGAGGAUGCUAGAGAAGAGGGCCAAGCAGCAUCCAGGAGCUUUCCCCUGCUAUCCUGGGAAUGUGCUGGGUGUCUCCAUGGGCUGGGAGGAGUAAAAACAGGAUCCACUGGGAAUUUUUAGCACUU